UGGCUAUGAUGAAACCAUGCGCUUCCUGUGAUGGAUGGGUCCACACUUACAUCUGGUUUCAAGAUGAAAAUAUGCGCAUCUGAGCUU